GACGAACGCUGGCGGCGUGCUUAACACAUGCAAGUCGAACGGAAAGGCCCUGCUUUUGUGGGGUGCUCGAGUGGCGAACGGGUGAGUAACACGUGAGUAACCUGCCCUUGACUUUGGGAUAACUUCAGGAAACUGGGGCUAAUACCGGAUAGGAGCUCCUGCUGCAUGGUGGGGGUUGGAAAGUUUCGGCGGUUGGGGAUGGACUCGCGGCUUAUCAGCUUGUUGGUGGGGUAGUGGCUUACCAAGGCUUUGACGGGUAGCCGGCCUGAGAGGGUGACCGGCCACAUUGGGACUGAGAUACGGCCCAGACGCCUACGGGAGGCAGCAGUGGAGAAUAUUGCACAAUGGGCGGAAGCCUGAUGCAGCAACGCCGCGUGCGGGAUGACGGCCUUCGGGUUGUGAACCGCUUUCGCCUGUGACGAAGCGUGAGUGACGGUAAUGGGUAAAGAAGCACCGGCUAACUACGUG
rnacentral:rRNA from 1 species